GUCAGCAGCCAUAUCACCCUGUAGCCCACUGAAGCUAAGCAGGGUUGAGCCUGGCCAGUACCUGGAUGGGAGACCUCCUGGGGAAAAACUAUGUUGCUGCUGGAA
rnacentral:rRNA from 1 species